UACGUAGGGUGCAAGCGUUAUUCGGAUUUAUUGGGCGUAAAGGGCUCGUAGGCGGUUCGUCGCGUCCGGUGUGAGAGUCCAUCGCUUAACGGUGGAUCCGCGCCGGGUACGGGCGGGCUUGAGUGCGGUAGGGGAGACUGGAAUUCCCGGUGUAACGGUGGAAUGUGUAGAUAUCGGGAAGAACACCAAUGGCGAAGGCAGGUCUCUGGGCCGUUACUGACGCUGAGGAGCGAAAGCGUGGGGAGCGAACAGG
rnacentral:rRNA from 1 species